CGUCGCAAUAGUAAUUCAACCUAGUAUGAGAGGAACCGUUGAUUCGCACAGUUGGUCAUCGCGCUUGGUUGAAAAGCCAGUAGCGCGAAGCUACCGUGCGCUGGAUUAUGACUGCACGCCUCUAAGUCAGAAUCCUUGCUAGAAGCGACG
rnacentral:ncRNA from 1 species